rnacentral:lncRNA from 10 species
CUGGCGUAUCAAAUGAUUGCCAAAAAUUUAUGUCAUCUUAGGAUGUAUUAGUACCCAACACUGGGAUGACAAUUUUAUUUCCUCAUUAGUGCCAGCUGUGAUCAUGUGGUAGUGAUGGCCUAGAGGCUGUACUGAGAUGAUUUAAGAUGACUCCCAUCUCAAUGCCAGGAGUUAUUGGGAUAUCUGCUAUGGGAGUGGGAGUGGAGAGUAUUCAUAUGUGUGUCUGCAUCUUUGAUUAUGAGUUUGAGGGGUAGCAGAGCCAAUCUAUAUUGUGACUGCCCAAAUGUGCAAGAUAUUAGACUGAAAAUGUUUUCAUAAGGCAGAGCCCAUCAGGGCGAGAGGUCUCUGAAUUCUCCCAUGUGGAGAGCUUGCAAGAAUUGAAACUGUCCAGACUGGAGAAGCAAAUGCUGAAUGGCUGCCGUGUGAAAGAGGGAUUGAGUCUGUUGUUACCUGUGAACUUAUGGAAGAGUUGGGUUCUGAUAAACUUCAUGGACGGAAACUAGAAGUUGUACACAGAUUUCAGGCACUACGUUGUCUGGGAUGAUGGAAGGAGCUAAAGUCUUCAGUGAAUGAAGGAGCAGGACCAGGAGCUCAAAAUACUUCUUUGAAGACAAAGAAGAAAUGAUAUUACCAAAUGGUUGGCUCAAAAGAACAGGGAUUUUGCAACAGAGAGAGUAUGUCAUGGUCUUGAACAAGCAAUGAAAGAAUCAUCUGAAAGGAAUGUGGAGAUCAGAGAAAAAUGAUGGGAAAGUUACCACAGCCUGCAAAUGAGAAAUGAUGAGAGCCUGCCUGGGUUUUGCCAGGACGAUUAAAUAUCAUUGAUGCUUCUGGUCUACAAUUAGUCAGAGAAGAGAUUAAAAAAAUGAUGAGUAUUCAAGAAGGAAAGUGUUUGCUUUAACAUAUGAAGAAAAGGAGCUUCAGAGUGGUGAUUAACCCCAGAAUUGUGUGGAACGGAUAUGGAAACAAGACCACAGGAGCAUCGAGAACUGAGCAGAACUGAAGGUGACAUGAAAAUCAGCUGCAAGAUUCACCUCAGGGUGAUAAUGGGCUGCAGGUGGCUGCAGGAAUCCCGGGACAUUCUAGGCACUGCCAUAUUUUCUUAGGGGCCAGUAAGGAUGGCUAUCAUCAGAUGUACCUGAUGAUACAAACAUGGGCUGUCUUGCCUUCUAGUAUUCAUUCUUGAUGAUUGCAUCCAGAGCUCACUUUGGAGGUGCAGAUCAACUCUUCUUCAGGCUCAUCCAUGCGACUUGAGUGGGCUCUCAUCCCCAUUCCCAGGGGCUUAUGACAAUCAAGGUUUCCACUCCUCCAUGGUCUCAAUGGUUUUUCUCCCCAUGGGAAGCACAUAAUCCCAUUAGAGGCCACGGGAAGCUUUUUUGUUGGGCUUUGAGGGAAAAAAGGCUUUUGCAGCCAAUGAAUCGAUCAAUGUGUACUUCAACCUGGAUUGUAUGUAUGCAUCUCCUAGAUUGGGCGGAUGAUGAAGUGAGGCUGGAAGUGCUGAGCAUCUUCCUACCUGGGAUGACUGGGCUGAGCAGGAAGCCUACCCCGGGGUUCCAGCCAAGUUGGAGCCUGUGAGUGUGUGGUGUAGUUUAACGCCCUGAUUAAAUCACUAGGAAGCCAUUUCUCUCUCUCCUCCCAGACCAGAUCAGACAAUAUGUUCCCUUAUUUCUACUAAAGCCCCAAUUGGAUUUUGUGUCUUUUGAUACUGAAAGAAUCUUACCACAAAUAAAAUAAUUUGUCAUGUGGCUCCUACAUAUUUAUUCAGUUACAUAAACUAACUAAAUAAAUGAAUAAACUGUCAAUAAUGGUAGUUCCUCAUCUAUGAAUGACUCUUUACAAAGCCUAUCUCGCUUAAUAGUCAUAAUAAAUACUGAAGUAGAUACUAUUUAUACCUUUUUUUUAAAAGGAAUUAAAUAUUUUCAGGGUUAUACAAAGCAUGAGUAUUGUGGGUACAAAUUCAAGCUUUCUAACUCAAAUUUGAAGACUUAUCCCCAGGAUACUUUUACAUCUUUAGCUAGUACCAUGUAUACCUCAAAAGCUUACAUUAUUUUUCACAUGUGUUAGGUUUUGAGGGAUAAUCAAUAAGGAGGGCAUACUUUCAGGCUUCUUAUUUAUAACUGUGAAAUUUAGAAAUUGAUGGAGUAGCAGAUUUCUCGGUAGGAGACAGCUGUUUUAAAAUGCCCCAUGUUUUUAUUAAAGUAAAAAUCUCAAAAAUUGUCUUUUAAAAAGUGGCUCUGGCCAAUCUUAGAUAAAACAUCAUUUACUAGACUUAGGAAUUUCCUGUAGUAAAUUUCAGAUUUACUUUUCGGUCUCACAUCAUCAAAGAGAUCAUAACCCUUUGUGCAAUUAUGGUCUUGAACCAAGGCCUAUUCUCUAGGUCACUGCUGUCAGGACUUCAAGAUAAUUGUUUCCAUUGCAGGAUUUGAUUUUUAAUUCCCCGGAUGUUCUUGACGUGGUUCAGUUCUUCAGGAAAUCAUCACCCUCAUGAGCCCUCCCUGCCACUUGCAGAUAGGGCUUUCUCCCGGUAAGUUCUGGAGUCACGGCAGAGCUCAAUAAGUCUGAUUGGGACCUCCUAUGAUUAU